rnacentral:lncRNA from 1 species
GGAGGAGCGGAGGGGGGCGGGCUCCUUGGGGGUGGGGCAGUGUGUAUCACGUGACGUCGUUUGACUGUUUACAUAAGACGCGGGCAGAGCCGUCGGCCUCAGUCAGUCAGACGCUAGGCAGCAUUACGGUU